CGUAACAAGGUCUCCGUAGGUGAACCUGCGGAGGGAUCAUUACACAAUAACCAGGCGGGCUGGACACCCCCCGCCGGGCACUGCUUCACGGCGUGCGCGGCGGGGCCGGCCCUGCUGAAUUAUUCACCCGUGUCUUUUGCGUACUUCUUGUUUCCUGGGUGGGCUCGCCCGCCCUCAGGACCAACCACAAACCUUUUGCAAUAGCAAUCAGCGUCAGUAACAACGUAAUUAAUUACAACUUUCAACAACGGAUCUCUUGGUUCUGGCAUCGAUGAAGAACGCAGCGAAAUGCGAUACGUAGUGUGAAUUGCAGAAUUCAGUGAAUCAUCGAAUCUUUGAACGCACAUUGCGCCCUUUGGUAUUCCAAAGGGCAUGCCUGUUCGAGCGUCAUUUGUACCCUCAAGCUUUGCUUGGUGUUGGGCGUCUUUUGUCUCCAGUUCGCUGGAGACUCGCCUUAAAGUCAUUGGCAGCCGGCCUACUGGUUUCGGAGCGCAGCACAAGUCGCGCUCUUUGCCAGCCAAGGUCAGCGUCCAGCAAGCCUUUUUUUCAACCUUUGACCUCGGAUCAGGUAGGGAUACCCGCUGAACUUAAGCAUA
rnacentral:rRNA from 1 species